UAAAUACUCCCUCCGUUCGGAAUUACUUGUCGCAGAAAUGGAUGUAUCUAGAUGUAUUUUAGUUCUAGAUACAUCCAUAUUCGAGACAAGUAAUUCCGAACGGAGGGAGUAUAUC
rnacentral:pre_miRNA from 1 species